GAUGAAUCUAUUGUUUGCCAAGCUCUGCUGUUACCGCAGCAGGGGGAGGGCAGCGAAAAGAGGAGUCU
rfam:Burkholderiales bacterium RIFCSPLOWO2_12_FTLL_61_40 rifcsplowo2_12_scaffold_1365, whole genome shotgun sequence.